UGAAAGCAACAUCGGCGAGUCGGCACACUCAUGGGGGAAAUUGUUUUGCAUGGCAGUAUGCGACGACAUGCAGAGUUGAUCCAAUCCUCACCAGUUUGGGCAAAUCCAAGGGUCCUAACGUGUAAACCCCACCCAUCGGCAGCCUGUUCACGUUACUUGCCAACCCAGAACAGCCAUCCACUCAGCAGCACUUUGCCUAAGUAUGUCCGAAAUCGCACAAUUUUUUUAUUUAUUUUUAUUUAACCUUUAUUUAACCAGGUAGGCUAGUUGAGAACAAGUUCUCAUUUACAACUGCGACCUGGCCAAGAUAAAGCGUAGCAAUUCGACAAAUACAACAACACAGAGUAACACAAUCAUGUCCGACAUCGCUUUACCAUUUACCGCUACUUACUGAUGAGUAUCAACGUCCUUGGCUGUAUCUAUAGUAAAUGUUGUCUUUUCUCGGAAUGAAGAAUUCAUCCUACCGGAUGAAAUGUCUUAUAUUUACCAAAAGUUCAGGAAAUACUAGCCUUCAAGAUCUCGCGGUUGAAUUUUAAAAAACAAAUUGAGAAAGCAUGUACAUCAUCUAAAGAAGUAUGGAGAACUGACAGCAAACACACUGAAGAGAAAACAUGCCCCUAAAACUCCCUCCACCAUCAAGCAGAGCACGUUACUGAAGACAGUCUCAAAAAUCCAUUGACAAAGCUGUGGUGAAGUAUGUGGUUCAAGGGCUCCAACCAUUCGCUGUUGUAGAACAAGAACCGUUUACAGAGUUUGUCCAGGAUCUGCAGCUUAACUCAAAAGAUCUUAUCAAGGCCCACACUGCGCUCCAGGAUUGAUGAAGUCUCCAAGAAAAUUAAGAAGAAGGUGACUGAGGCCAUGAGAGGAAUUGACCACAUCGCCACCACCACCGACUGCUGGUCUGCAAGAAGACCGAGCUUCAUUGGUGUUAUAUCCCACUGGAUAGACCCUGACAGUCUCAACAGAUGCUCUGCAGCCCUGCCUGUAAACAGUUGAGAGGAUCGCACACCUUUGUGUUGGCAGGCGCCCUAAAUGACAUCUAUUCUGAGUUUGAAAUCCAGGUUAAGAUUGUGUGAACAACAACAGACAACGGCUCUAACUUGAAAGCUUUCCAAGUUUUUGGAGAAGGUGAAAACAACGAGACACUGGAAGCAGCUCAGCCAAGACAGGAAGAUGGGGAAGAGGAACAAGAGGAGAGUGAAGAAGUGGAGUUUGUUGAUGUGGCAACGAUCCUGAAUGAAGAUGAUGGUUUUGAGUACCAGCUGCAGAAGCACCAGCGCUGUGCUUACCACCUACUCAACUCAGUAUCUACAGUCGAUGCCCUGAAAGCAACAUCCAGUGAGUCUUACAAAAAAGUGUCCCAUUUAACAUUUGGCAAGUGCCAAGCACAUUGGAACAAAUGUGGAAGAUACACACUUGCAGCCAAAACGGUUGAAGAUGCUUGCGACAUCCAGCUGCUGCACCCAAAUGCUACGAGGCGGAACUCCUGGUUCAUGGCUGUAGAAAGACUCCUGAUGAUCGACAAAGGAGAGGCGGCCAUCAGAGUUCCCUGCACAGACUUCGAGGUUCCAAUGUUCAAUCCAGCUGCACUCAUCCUUCCUCACAGAGUAUGCUUCUACCAUGAGCCCAGUUGCAAAUGCCAUCAACAUCCUGCAGGCUGAAAUCAAUGUCCAGAUGUGGUGGCUACUUCCUACUAUUAACCUGCUGAUCACAAAAAUUGACUGAAUCAAGUUGUCUCUGAAGUACUGUAAGCCUCUGGUGGAUGUGCUACAACUGGGACUGAAGAAGCGCUUCAGCCACAUAUUUCACGACACUGAGCUGAUCGAAUCAAAUCCAAUUUAUUUAUAUAGCCCUUUGUACAUCAGCUGAAAUGUCAAAGUGCUGUACAGAAACCCAGCCUAAAACCCCAAACAGCAAGCAAUGCAGGUGUAGAAGCAUGGUGGCUAGGAAGAACUCCCUAGAAAGGCCAAAACCUAGGAAGAAACCUAGAGAGGAACCAGGCUAUGAGGGGUGGCCAGUCCUCUUCUGGCUGUGCCGGGUGGAGAUUAUAACAGAACAUGGCCAAGACGUUCAAAUGUUCAUAAAUGACCAGCAUGGUCAAAUAAUAAUAAUCACAGUAGUUGUCGAGGGUGCAGCAAGUCAGCACCUCAGGAGUAAAUGUCAGUUGGCUUUUCAUAGCCGAUCAUUAAGAGUAUCUCUACCACUCCUGCUAUCUCUAGAGAGUUGAAAACAGCAGGUCUAGGACAGGUAGCAUGUCCGGUGAACAGGUUAGGAUUCCAUAGCCGCAGGCAGAACAGUUGAAACUGGAGCAGCAGCACGGCCAGGUGGACUGGGGACAGCAAGGAGUCAUCAUGCCAUUGUAGUCCUGAGGCAUGGUCCUAGGGCUCAGGUCCUCCGAGAGAGAGAAUUAGAGAGAGCAUACUUAAAUUCACAGAGGACACCGGAUAAGACAGAAGAAGUACUCAAGAUAUAACAAACUGACCCUAGCCCCCCGACACAUAAACUACUGCAGCAUAAAUACUGGAGGCUGAGACAGGAGGGGUCCGGAGACACUGUGGCCCCUCCGAUGAUUCCCCCGGACAGGGCUAGAGGGAUAUCUUCAACCACCAACUUACCAUCCUGAGACCAGGCUGAGUAUAGCCCACAAAGAUCUCCGCCACGGCACAACCCAAGGGGGGGGGGCGCCAACCCAGACAGGAAGAUCAUGUCAGUGACUCAACCCAGCUGAUCACAGCUGCAAUCCUUAUCCCCAAAUUCAAAACAACGUGGAUGAAGGAUGACGCCACCAUCAGAAUGGGAAUGGACGACAUCAAGGACCACCUGGAAGAACCCUUGCUGCAGCUAGGCGAUGGCACCAGUUCAUCACCAGUUCUUCUUCCCUCCUGAGUGGCGCAGCGGUCUAAGGCACUGCAUCUCGGUGCUAGAAGUGUCACUACAGACCCUGGUUCGAUUCCAGGCUGUAUCACAACCGGCAGUGAUUGAUCGUCCGGGUUAGGGUUUGGUCGGGGUAGCCGUCAUUGUAAAUAAGAAUUUGUUCUUAACGGACUUGCCUAGUUAAAUAAAAUAAAUGAAGACGUCUCAAGCACAAGAAAGCUCCAAACAGCUGGACGGAUACUUGGCCUGUUCAACUGAUCAUAUGGAGUUGCUCAAGUCCUUCCCGGCAGUCUGUAAGCUGUCUCUGAGGCUCAACACACCCUUACCUGCAUCAACUGGCUUUGAAAGGCUGUUCAGCAUUGCAGGACUUGUUUUCAGCCCCAGGAGAGCAAGGGUAGAUUCCAUAAACUUUGAAAACCAGCUUUUACUGAAGAUGAACCAUAAAUCCUUCAACUUCAAAUAAUGACAGCUUAAUGCUAGCAAGUACACGGAUGCCUUAUGCGUUUUGUUCAUUUAUUUAAAAAUUCACCAGUUAUAGAUGUCCUUGUUACAAAGGCAUGACCUGACACACUGAUUUCUAAUACAGUUCCAUCAGUGGUUAUGUCCUUAUUGCUAAUAGUGAGGUUGUGUGUAGUUCUGUACAUGUACUUUUUUAUUUUAUGUAUAGGGUCUAUUAUAGCAUGUUUUUUCUAAAGCAAAGUGACUGUGAUUGUAAGCUUAUGUUUACUGGCUAUAUUCCUUCAUUAAGGCAUCAUUCUAUUUUGUCUGUAAGAUAUAUUUUGAAGUGUUGCCUAUUUGAGAAUCCUCAUAAUUAAAAAAAAUCUGAGCUCUUCUUGCAUCCGAAAAGCUCAAACCAAAUAAGGUCUGGCUGUUUUGCUUUACGGCUGUUACGUUUCAUUCUUUAACUUUUUAUACUUAAAGUAACUGAUAUUAAAUAUACUUGAGACUGUUACUCAAGUAGUAUUCUAAUGGGUGACUUUUACCUGAGUAAUUUUCAAGUAAGGUGUCUUUACUUUUUCGGUGUAAAGCUCAUUCCUUCAACGAUAAACGUGAAUCCGACCAUCACCCCUGGUGAAACAAAACCAUGACUCGUCAGUGAAGAGCAUUUUUUGCCAGUCCUGUCUGGUCCAGCGAUGGUGGGUUUGUGCCCAUAGGUGACGUUGUUGCCGGUGAUGUCUGGUGAGGACCUGCCUUACAACAGGCCUACAAGCCCUCAGUCCAGCCUCUCUCAGCCUAUUGCAGUCUGAGCACUGAUGGAGGGAUUGUGCGUUCCUGGUGUCACUCAGGCAUUUGUUGUUGCCAUCCUGUACCUGUCCCUCAGGUGUGAUGUUCGGAUGUACUGAUCCUGUGCAGGUGUUGUUACAUGUUGUCUGCCACUGCGAGGACGUUGUCUGCCUCAGCUGUCCGUCCUGUCUAUCUUUGUCGUCUCCCAGUACGGACUUUGCAUUUUAUUGCCCUGGCCACAUCUGCAGUCCUCAUGCCUCCUUGCAGCAUAACUAAGACACAUUCACGCAGAUGAGCAGGAACCCUGGGCCCCUUUCUUUUGGUGUUUUUCAGAGUCAGUAGAAAGGCCUCUUUAGUGUCCUAAGUUUUCAUAACUGUGACCUUAAUUGCUGUUAGUGUCUUAACGACCGUUCCACAGGUCGCUGGACCAGACAGGACAUUCAUUAAUUGUUUAUGGUUCAUUGAACAAGCAUGGGAAACAGUGUUUAAACCCUUUACAAUGAAGAUCUGUGAAGUUAUUUGGAUUUUUAUGAAUUAUCUUUGAAAGACAGGGUCCUGAAAAGGGGACAUUUAUUUUUUUGCUGAGUUUAUGUUAUAGCAAUCUGGUGUCAGACGGCACAGUCGAUGACAGCGCUCACAAUCAUUACAGGGGAGGGAAUGCUUUCCCAUUUUUUAUUUUAUUUGGGGUGCUUUCAAGACAACUGGGAAGUCAAGAAGAAACUAGGUCAAUUCAUGAGGUCGGAAAGUCGUUCGAGAAACAGUUCUAGAAACAUGACAGUGUUUCGGACAUUCAAAACCAUUUUCUCAGUCUGAGCUUUUAUUUUAGAGUUCCCAGUUGUCUUGAAUAGUCUUAAGUCAGAGAUUUCCAAGUUCCCAGUUGGCAUACGACCUAGUCUAACCCUACCUCAUUGGUGUCAGGUGAUGGAGACUGGAGGAGAAAAAUGGGUUCAUUUUGGACCAUUCUUUGGACAAAACACUUCAUUAGAGAUUUUAGAUUUCAUUAGAAUAUAUCCCUCCAUUUAUACUUGGGUGCAUUUGUAAAUUCACUCUUGCAAUUUGCAAAAAAAAAAACAUUUCUGACACCUUUCCCUGUUGGUGAAUUGUGCAGAACCUACAUCCAUUUACAGAUGCCAAUUACCAUUAGUGCCUAUUAAUGAAAGUGUCUUCUUCUUGGGGACUUUUGCUAAGAGCCCCUACGCUUGCUCUAAACAUUGACAAGCUUCACUUGCGGAAUGGUUUUGGAAACAUAAAGAACUCAUCUUUCAUAUCAGCAAUAAAUCAUUUUCAACCGAAAGAAGUUUAAAUGACUAAACACCUUAAUUAAUAGGGUUAGUGUUCCCACAAGACCUUAUCUGAAAUGUUACAGGGCUUGUUUACGGAAGACAGACGACCAGCUGGGAUAAUUAGCUAUCUGUGGAAAGAACUGAAAACUGCUGUUCACAAAUGCUCUCCAUCCAACCUCACUGAGCUCGAGCUGUUUUGCAAGGAGGAAUGGGAAAAAAUGUCAGUCUCUCAAUGUGCAAAACUGAUACAGACAUACCCCAAGCGACUUACAGCUGUAAUCGCAGCAAAAGGUAGCGCUACAAAGUAUGAACUUAAGGGGGCUGAAUAAUUUUGCACGCCCAAUUUUUCAGUUUUUGAUUUAAAAAAAAAGUUUUAAAUAUCCAAUAAAUGUCGUUCCACUUCAUGAUUGUGUCCCACUUGUUGUUGAUUCUUCACAAAAAAAUACAGUUUUAUAUCUUUAUGUUUGAAGCCUGAAAUGUGGCAAAAGGUCGCAAAGUUCAAGGGGGCCGAGUACUUUCGCAAGGCACUGUAUAGGGAAUAGGGGUGCCAUUUUGGACAAAUGUGUUUAUCAAUUAUGACAUAACAUGUGGAAUGGUUACAGAUGAAACGGUUGAGCCGAUGUGCGCUAAUGUGAUUAGCAUUAUGUUGUAAGUAACAGCAAACUUUCCAGGACAUAGACAUGUCUUGUAUGGGCAGAAAGCUUAAAUUCUUGUUAAUCUAACUGCACUCUCCAGUUUACAGUAGCUGUCACAGUGAAACAAAUACAAUGCUAUUGUUUGAGGAGAGUGCAC